AAGGUUGGUGUCUGUAGUGUCUCCAGCACAGCAGGGUCUGGUCUGUGUCCACCAGGCUGCUUCUGCCAUGCUCAAUCUCACCUUACUCUUGAAGGAAAUAAAAGGCUAGGAAGCCAGAAGAAAUACUCACACCGAGGGCACUGGCCCACCAGGGGUGGCAUUAGCAAAAGAGACUCAAUGAGGAUGAGAAAACAGAGAUGACAGAGACCCAAAUAACAUUUGAAUUGGACUCUACCUGCAAGUGGAGCUUUACCAUCCAGGCCUCACCUCCACCAAAGACAAGUAACAGCAGGACCAACCUACAUGCAAAAGAAACUUCAGUCCCAUACAGGUAGGCUGAUGACCCACACAAAGCGCAGCAAGAAUCCUUGUCCACAUAGGCUCUCCUAGAUUGGACUGGCUGGAACCUCUCACAGUGCCAUUUCAGUCAAAGCCCUGGGAAAACAGCCAGUUCCUCCACUGUGUCCCAGUAUACAAGAAAACAGAUUCCUAUUGAAGUUAUGCAAACAAACACAUUGCCAUGAAUUAAGAAUACUCAUAAAUGAACUACAAAUUCUGGAGAAAGUAGGCAGAGAACAAAAUAUGCCUUAAUUUCAGUUUACAAAAGUAUAAUCUACUCAAUUGUUAAAGGCUAUAAAUAGCUCAAAAGGAAAAAUGUUCUCCAGACUCUGAAGAAUCAGCAAUGUUUCAAACAAACAAAAAGGCCAUGAAAAAUUAUUUCAGUCCUCUGUCAGUUCAAUCCAUGCAAUCAACUCCUGCUCUACUUCAUAUUGGGUUAGUAAUCUUUAUGCACAUCAGCCUUUCAACUAGUACCCUGGAAAUAUCCUCUCUAAUCCAAUGGCACAAUCUUCAAAGUUAACAGAAACCUGCCUUCAAGAGUUCUUUUCAUGAACUUCUCCAAAGAAGAAAACCCUGGACUAUAGCUGAUUAGAAGUCACUUUUUGAGAAGGAUCAAAGCAAAACAACAAUUGUGAAUGACGAAAGUCUUAGGACAGCUGUAAAGAUACAGUUGUCAAUGACAGUGGGUUAUAUCUAUGGCAUACAACAAUUUAACAUAAUAAUCAUAAUUACUACUGACAAUAUAUACUAAGACAUAUCCGAAUUUGAGGAAUCUUAUACAAUCCUGGGGCACAUAUUAACGACAUAUCUAUAUAAAUAUAACCCAAAGGAAGCUAAACACCACCUCAGAUUUGACAGUGCUUUCUGAAUAAUUCUAACAUAACAAAUAAGCCUAAAUUGUCUCUCUUGGGCUUCAGGGAAUUUAAUAUUCAAAAAAGUUAGUUUGAGGUCAAAAAGACUGAAUUUAGAACUUGAAAUUUUGCUCUUAGAAAGUUUGCCAAAUAUCAGUGUUAAGAUACUUGAUAUCACAAAAUAGAACCACAGGUCACUAUAAAAUAGUCAUUUAUUUAGCCAAAAUGAUAAAACAAAAACAUUUACCUUUUGAUAGAGAGGAGAUUCAGCUUCCCAAACAAUAAAACCUAAUAAACACAGCAUGAGGCCAACGAAAUCUGUCUCUCCCCCUCCAUUUUUUCGCUUUAGUUUACAAAAAAGGUAUACAAAAAUCUUUUAUCUCUUACUAAUAUUACACAAAUAUUUUGUUCAAAAGAGAAAAUCAGAAUUUUACCUCUGUAUGGUGUAUUAUUAAAGUUAAAGCUAAUUUUGAUAAAACCUUACAAACAAAUCUAAUUUUAAUCAUAAGGUAAGAUUACCAUAUACUUUUUAUAAUCGUUUAUGAUUUUCUGUUAAAGAACAGAUCAAUGCUUCAAGAAACCCUGUUAUUCAGACAUAUGGGCCUAGACGCUAGCCUUGCACCAGUGCACUUUUGAUAUUAAUGUUUAAUUUACAGAACUAAUGUUAUCCCUCAAAAUUGGCCCUUACAGUCUCAUAGGCCCACCUCUUCUGCAAUAGUCCCUGGGCCUAGAGGGUUGAAUAGUUUUAAUUUCUGGCCCUGUGUCUCACAAAAGCGGUUCAUUUUGAUUGUCACCUUCUCCCAGAUCUGAGGGUCUGAAGAUGAGCCUUUGACAGGUAUCAGUGCUCAAAAUUUAGCAGGGGUUGGUGUCUUUUUCAGACCCAGGAGUCAAAGACCUGUAACUUAACAGCAGAAGGAUUAGUUAAAGGGAUAUUAUUUAGGCUACAGAAAGUUCCAUCAUUCUAACAUGUCACAAGUUAAAAUAUUGUGAUUUGGCAUUCGGUAGUUGCUGCCUGCACACUCCAAACCACUGUAUUAAAGUAUUUAGGUUACUCAUUGCGAGUAUCUAGUUGCUAGCGUUCUGGUGACAGAACUGUGACCCAAAGCAUCCAAAAGUGAUGGGGCCUUUACCAAACAUAUCAAAACAAAACAACUAGCUUUUCUCUCCAUCAUUAAAAAAUGGUAAAUGCAAAUAUCGGUUUUAGAAAUUCAAUGAGGAUAAAUAAGCUCCUUUCACUUAAAUAGUAUACAACAGAGCAAAGACGAGGUAAGAACAAGCACACAGUAAUUUCUUUUCAGCUAUGUUUAAAGAACAUCAUCCCAUAUUUCCAAGAUUAGUUCCUAGAUACAGUACUGAGAACCAAUUAAGUAACUUUCACCACUAAAAUCUUCAAACCAGCGCAACACUUGUACAUAUUUUUUUCAUGUACACAUAUGAAAGCCCAUCAGUGAUUAACGGCUUGAGAUUAAAAAUCACUAGAAAGUCUCACAUUCUUUAUUACUACUUAAUCCAAGUGAAUGUCAACACAACAAAAUAAUGGCCAACACAACUAAAUUUUAAUAAUGGUCAACACAACUAAAUUAGCUUCAGAAUAAUCCUAAGCAAUACAAUUUCAUUAAGGAUACAGCCAAUCUUUCCUGAACAUUAAAAUGUUGUACUCAUAUCACCGUGUUUCCUCACUACCUAAAGGAAAGAUCUUGAAACCAACUGAAAUUAUUGACUGAAUUGAAUUACCUUGGAAAUAAACACCAUUUAAACAUUUUCAUUCUCACCCACUUCUUCAAGUAACAAAAUAAAUAAUGUGCUAUUUCUGCUCAGAACUUCCAAAAA